CAGUAGGGAAUCUUCGGCAAUGGGGGCAACCCUGACCGAGCAACGCCGCGUGAGUGAAGAAGGUUUUCGGAUCGUAAAGCUCUGUUGUAAGAGAAGAACGUGUGUGAGAGUGGAAAGUUCACACAGUGACGGUAACUUACCAGAAAGGGACGGCUAACUACGUGCUAG
rnacentral:rRNA from 1 species